UGUAGGGAUGACACCACUGAUUGCCUGGCUGAUGGUGUUUCUCUGUGAUCUGACAGCAGGGGUGGAACGUCCUGAGGUGAUGUGUCGUCGGUCCUGUGAGGAGCUGAAUGAUCUAUUAUCAGAGCUGCAUGGCCUCCACAUCGUUACCACUAGUCUGCUGCACGACCUUCAGAGAGCUACAGAGGAGAAUGAGGCAUUGCGUGAAGCUCUCUCUGAGCUGGGCAGCAGUUUGGACAGAGAGGGAGGAGGAGAAGAUGAUGAAGAGGAGAGAGUGUGUGUUCAGGACGGACGUGUGUAUCAGCGGGAGGAGGACUGGGUUUCAGACAGCUGCACAUUCUGUACCU